GGGAUGUAGCGAAGUCCGGUAUCGCGCCACGUUCGGGACGUGGAGAUCGUGGGUUCAAAUCCCGCCAUCCCCA
rnacentral:tRNA from 1 species